GCAGAUCAUACAGAAAGGAGAAUGUUGGGUCCGCAUGAAUACAGAAGCAAUGCCCAUGCAUCUCAAACAACUACAUAAUCAUAUUUUCCUUCUUUCUUCUUCUUCACCGCUAGCCGAAACGAGAUUUCUUGCAUUUUCACUCCGUUCAGUCACAAAUGGUGUCGGAGAGAAGAAAGUUCGAUGGUCACUGUGCAUUUCAGGAGCACAUCUAAACGAAAAUAGCCGACUGCUCAGUAUCCAGAUUGUGACAUCUUCCCCACCACCUACACAUACUCUCUGAUAGCUCGUGACAUCUUCCCCACCACCUACGCAUACUCCCCGACAGGUA